rnacentral:rRNA from 1 species
UACAGAGGGUGCGAGCGUUAAUCGGAAUUACUGGGCGUAAAGCGUGCGUAGACGGCUAUCUAAGUCGGGUGUGAAAGCCCCGGGCUCAACCUGGGAAUUGCAUUCGAGACUGAAUAGCUAGGGUACGGUAGAGGGAAGUGGAAUUUCCGGUGUAGCGGUGAAAUGCGUAGAUAUCGGAAGGAACAUCAGUGGCGAAAGCGACUUCCUGGACCAGUACCGACCGUUCAGGCACGAAAGCGUGGGGAGCAAACAGGGAAU